GUCACUGUAGUGCAGUGGUUAGCACGGGUCGCCUCCAAAGGGACAGACUCGGGUUCGAUCCCCGACGGAGACC